GACGAACGCUGGCGGCGUGCUUAACACAUGCAAGUCGAACGAAGAGCGAUGGAAGCUUGCUUCUAUCAAUCUUAGUGGCGAACGGGUGAGUAACGCGUAAUCAACCUGCCCUUCAGAGGGGGACAACAGUUGGAAACGACUGCUAAUACCGCAUACGAUCUAAACUCGGCAUCGAGGAUAGAUGAAAGGUGGCCUCUACAUGUAAGCUAUCACUGAAGGAGGGGAUUGCGUCUGAUUAGCUAGUUGGAGGGGUAACGGCCCACCAAGGCGAUGAUCAGUAGCCGGUCUGAGAGGAUGAACGGCCACAUUGGGACUGAGACACGGCCCAGACUCCUACGGGAGGCAGCAGUGGGGAAUCUUCCGCAAUGGACGAAAGUCUGACGGAGCAACGCCGCGUGAGUGAUGACGGCCUUCGGGUUGUAAAGCUCUGUUAAUCGGGACGAAAGGCCUUCUUGCGAAUAU
rnacentral:rRNA from 1 species